rnacentral:misc_RNA from 1 species
AGAUUGGGAAGAGCAUGGUGGAAGCCUUUUCGAAGGAAGGGAAUUUGAAAGCUGUGGCUAUGGUGAAGAGGUUAGUUGGAACACUGCCAACAAUUCUAGCAAGUGUUCCAACUAGAUAAUCAAAGAUUUCUCUGUGUGUAUGUGUGUGGUUCUUUUAAUUGGUUUGGUUUUAGAGAAUGCAACAAGAGAGAAAGUAACUUUACUGUUUGUUCAUUUCCCUAAUGCAUUAAUAAAAGUCAGUUUCCAGUUCUCAUUAAAAGUGGCUAAACCACACACAUACA